rnacentral:lncRNA from 1 species
UCAGAAAACGUCAUAGACACCGCCCACUCGGCGAACUGUCUCCGAGCGGAGCCGGGCUGGAUUGGAUUGGACCCCUGGGCGGGAAAGGACGGACGGGUUAAGUAGCCAAUCACCAAUUGCGCUCCAGCCAGAGGGGCGAUGUUCUUGGGGAGCCUGGGGUGAGUUCCCAGAGUUCGUUUCCCAGUCUUGGCUCAGCGUUAGAACCUUCUGUGUUUAGUUCCUUGCGGAGCAUUUUCUCUUAACAAGCCUGAGGAUCUGGAAGAAGUUCAGUGUGAGGACGAGUGUUAGGAAAUAAGGCUGAAGACAGAGGCAACCCUGGAGGAUCUUCUAACCCAUGUCAAGCAGUUGAGAAUUUAUGGAGUGAAAUAGCAAGCCAUUGAAGAGUUUCAAGGUGAG